GCCAGUGUGGCAUAAUGGUUUGAGUGUUGGACUAGGACUCUGGAUACUAGGGUUCAACUCCCUACUUGGCCA